rnacentral:rRNA from 1 species
UACGGAGGAUGCGAGCGUUAUCCGGAUUUAUUGGGUUUAAAGGGUGCGUAGGCGGGCUGUCAAGUCAGCGGUAAAAUGGAGAGGCUCAACCUCUUCAGGCCGUUGAAACUGGCGGUCUUGAGUGAAUGAGAAGUAUGCGGAAUGCGUGGUGUAGCGGUGAAAUGCAUAGAUAUCACGCAGAACUCCGAUUGCGAAGGCAGCAUACCGGCAUUCAACUGACGCUGAAGCACGAAAGCGUGGGGAUCAAACAGG